UACAGAGGUCUCAAGCGUUGUUCGGAUUCAUUGGGCGUAAAGGGCGCGUAGGCGGCACGGCAAGUCAGGAGUGAAAGGCCUGGGCUCAACCGAGGAACUGCUUUUGAGACUGCCGAGCUAGAGUGCGGAAGGGGCAACCGGAAUUCCCAGUGUAGCGGUGAAAUGCGUAGAUAUUGGGAAGAACACCUGAGGCGAAGGCGGGUUGCUGGGCCGACACUGACGCUGAGGCGCGAAAGCCAGGGGAGCAAACGGG
rnacentral:rRNA from 1 species